GGCUGUGCCUCCGGGUUCCCAGGGAUCUAAGGUUUGCUCAGCUUUGUGACUGUGUCAAAGAGGUUCCAAAACCAUCUGCCUGACUGUAUAGAAGAGAGCGGGUUAGACAGCGGGCUGGCUCGCUGGAUGGGAAGCAAGAGCCUGGGAACUCCCAGCAGCGUGAGGAGCCCUCGAUGGAGGCCACUAGGGAUGUGACCAGGGGCACAAGGAGGGGCCUUCCAUGCAUCUUUCCAUCUCCAGCGCUCACCAAAAUGCCUGGCACACAGCAGGUGCUCACUAAAUGAAAAUGCAAUUUGAGUUGAACAAAGUAAGC
rnacentral:lncRNA from 1 species